CGCACCUUGCGCUCCUUGGUAUUCCGAGGAGCAUGCCUGUUUGAGUGUCUUGAAGUCAUCAACCGCCCCCGUUUGAAACGCGGGGGACGGGUUGGAUCUGGGGGCGUGCCGCUGCAAAGCGGCUCCCUUCAAAUGCAUCGGUUGGACCUGUGGGUCGAACUCGACUGGGCGUUGUAGCAUCCUCGCUCUUCCGAGAGGUUCCCCUUUGGCGUCCUCCCACGACCUGCCUGCGGAGUGGCGGUCAACUUGCUCUGAAAUCUGACCUCAAAUCAGGUAGGACUACCCGCUGAACUUAA
rnacentral:misc_RNA from 1 species